rnacentral:piRNA from 1 species
UGUCGCUCUCUUUUCAAAACU